GAUGAACGCUAGCUACAGGCUUAACACAUGCAAGUCGAGGGGCAUCAGGAAGAAAGCUUGCUUUCUUUGCUGGCGACCGGCGCACGGGUGAGUAACACGUAUCCAACCUGCCCUUUACUCGGGGAUAGCCUUUCGAAAGAAAGAUUAAUACCCGAUGGCAUAAUGAUUCCGCAUGGUUUCAUUAUUAAAGGAUUCCGGUAAAGGAUGGGGAUGCGUUCCAUUAGGUUGUUGGUGAGGUAACGGCUCACCAAGCCUUCGAUGGAUAGGGGUUCUGAGAGGAAGGUCCCCCACAUUGGAACUGAGACACGGUCCAAACUCCUACGGGAGGCAGCAGUGAGGAAUAUUGGUCAAUGGGCGCUAGCCUGAACCAGCCAAGUAGCGUGAAGGAUGAAGGCUCUAUGGGUCGUAAACUUCUUUUAUAUAAGAAUAAAGUGCAGUAUGUAUACUGUUUUGUAUGUAUUAUAUGAAUAAGGAUCGGCUAACUCCGUGCCAGCAGCCGCGGUAAUACGGAGGAUCCGAGCGUUAUCCGGAUUUAUUGGGUUUAAAGGGAGCGUAGGUGGACUGGUAAGUCAGUUGUGAAAGUUUGCGGCUCAACCGUAAAAUUGCAGUUGAUACUGUCAGUCUUGAGUACAGUAGAGGUGGGCGGAAUUCGUGGUGUAGCGGUGAAAUGCUUAGAUAUCACGAAGAACUCCGAUUGCGAAGGCAGCUCACUGGACUGCAACUGACACUGAUGCUCGAAAGUGUGGGUAUCAAACAGGAUUAGAUACCCUGGUAGUCCACACAGUAAACGAUGAAUACUCGCUGUUUGCGAUAUACAGUAAGCGGCCAAGCGAAAGCAUUAAGUAUUCCACCUGGGGAGUACGCCGGCAACGGUGAAACUCAAAGGAAUUGACGGGGGCCCGCACAAGCGGAGGAACAUGUGGUUUAAUUCGAUGAUACGCGAGGAACCUUACCCGGGCUUAAAUUGCAGUGGAAUGAUGUGGAAACAUGUCAGUGAGCAAUCACCGCUGUGAAGGUGCUGCAUGGUUGUCGUCAGCUCGUGCCGUGAGGUGUCGGCUUAAGUGCCAUAACGAGCGCAACCCUUAUCUUUAGUUACUAACAGGUUAUGCUGAGGACUCUAGAGAGACUGCCGUCGUAAGAUGUGAGGAAGGUGGGGAUGACGUCAAAUCAGCACGGCCCUUACGUCCGGGGCUACACACGUGUUACAAUGGGGGGUACAGAAGGCAGCUAGCGGGUGACCGUAUGCUAAUCCCAAAAGCCUCUCUCAGUUCGGAUCGAAGUCUGCAACCCGACUUCGUGAAGCUGGAUUCGCUAGUAAUCGCGCAUCAGCCACGGCGCGGUGAAUACGUUCCCGGGCCUUGUACACACCGCCCGUCAAGCCAUGGGAGCCGGGGGUACCUGAAGUACGUAACCGCAAGGAUCGUCCUAGGGUAAAACUGGAGACU
rnacentral:rRNA from 1 species